GAGGAAGGAAAUGUCUGCAAUGGAGCUGAUUCAGGGGCCGGUGACUUUCGAAGAGGUGGCUGUGUAUUUCACCAGGGAAGAGGGGGCUCUGCUGGACCCCACUCAGAGAGCCCUCUACAGGGAUGUCAUGCAGGAGAGCUAUGAGACGGUGGUCUUGCUGGAUAAGGAGUCCUGUCCCCUGGGUUGUUAGAAGCUGUGGGGUCUCUGAAGAACCUGAGUUGUAAUAACUUUAUACCUUUAUUCAUAAUAAAAGUUUUGACAGGUUUCCUUGCCCCCUCCCUUUUUUGCCUUAUCCCCCAUAUACUGGUAUAACUUUUGGACAUGUGUCUUUUUGAUGAAUGAACUGGAGUUAAAACCAUGGACUGUUCUUGUGACAAGUAUCCCAGAGAUUCCACUGACCUCCCUUGUUUUCUUCGCCUGGAGUAGGGUUUUCAGUUUCCAAUCCUGAUGUGAUCUCGCAGCUGGAACGAGGGGAAGAGCCAUGGGUUCUGGACCUCCAGGGCUCUGAGAAAAAGUGCUCCUGAGAGCUGCCUGCAAAGGUGAGGAAUUGGUUAAGCCAAGUCAAAAGCUGUCCAUGAAUACAGAAAACAUUUGGGAUGCCCUACAAAGACCUUGUGAGCUCUCCAAGUUCAAGAUUGUUCCCUGCAGAUGUGGAAUCAUUAGGCAGAUGUCACUCAUGGCUCCCCUCUACCCUGACUAACAACUGGCAGCAGGUCCCUCCCCAAUCUCGCUUUCCCCUGAGAAUUCUGGUGCAAUGAGGACCCAGAACUGAUCCCUUCUUCUCUGGGGAAAGGUUUGGGGAUAAUCAGCUCCUGAUAGGUUUGAUCUCUCCCGCACAUAUUUUGGUUUGUUCAUCCCUUUCCCCAUUCCCCACUCUUAGAUUUCCUUUCUGUCCAGUGCAGGGAGCGACCUGUGUCUGGAUUCUCUCUGUCUCCCAUCAGGGGUUGGGAUGGUGAGUGAGAAUGAGGAGAAACCCCAGCAGGAAGCUACUGAGCAAGUAUUACCCCAUGGGAUGUUAUCAGGAAGAUCCAAAGGGAAUGUUUCCAGGAGUUGUGCACUCCCAGAAAAAGCAAAAGACUGUGAGAGUCAGCACAGGCCAGAGGAAAACUUCAGUAGCCACUCAGACAUUCUUACACGCAAGAGAAUCAACUUGGAAGAGACACACUACACAUGCCAUGAGUGUGGGGAACACCUCAGUCAGCGCUCAAACCUUAUCAGACAUAAGAGAAUCCACAUGAGUGAGAAACCUUAUGGGUGCCAUGAGUGCAGGAAAAGCUUUAGUCUGCACUCAUCCGUUAUCAGACAUAGGUGAAUCCACACUGGAGAGAACCCUGCAUGUGCUCUGUGUGUGGGAAACGCUUCAAUCAGACCUCAAGCCUUAUCAGACAUCAGCGAAUGCACACUGGUGAGAAACCUGAUGGAUGCUCUGAGUUUGGGAGAUGCUUCAAUCAGAGCUCAAGCCUUAUUAAACAUCAGAAAAACCACACAGAAGAGACACCUUACACAUGCACUGAGUGUGGGAAAAGGUUCAAUAGGUGCUUAAACCUUAUCAGACAUUGGGAAAUCCACACAGGUGAGACACCCUACCCAUUCCCUGAGUGCGGGAAAAGCUUCAGUCAGCACUCAGACCUUAUCAGACAUCAGAGAAUCCACACAAGAGAAACGCCCUACGUAUCAGUCCUGCACAACUCAUAAAGCGGCAAGGUCCACAUUGCUCCAAAGAAAACAGUUGAUGGCUGAAACCGCCCAGCCUCGCGGAAACACGCUGCCCAAUGCCUCUCAGCCCCGCGGAAACACUCCCCCCCCAAGCACUACCCAGCCCCACGGAAACAAACCCUCCUUCCCUAGCGCCAACCUGCUGAAACAGCUGUAGGCUGAAAAGGAAGGUUGGGUGUGUGUGUGUGAUACUUUAUUAAGAACAAUUAAAACAAACAAUUUUUAAAAUUAUUUUAAUUUUUUUAUGAAUUAUGUAAAAAUGAAAAACAUGUGUUUCCUUGAAAGAAAACAUUUGUGCUUUUCAUAAUUACCUUGCAAAUUUAAUGAGAGAUAGUACAUCUCUUUUCAGCAACAAGCUUGUCGUAUUCGGGGGUCAUAUUUGAAGUGGAUAUUUUCGUAAUCUUUUCCAAAUGGUCUUCAGUCAGAGAAGAACGUGGCUUGUUUUUAUUCAUGUUCAUGAUGGAAAAUGUUCACAUAGGUAAGCACUUCCAAAAAUGCUGAAUGUUUUCAGUGCAACUUCAAUAAGAUUCUUGUAUUUUUUAUUGUCCAGACUUUUGUAGAAGUCUCGCAGGCUGCUUUCUCUGUGCUUAUUUCAAUAAACUGCCGAACAUUUAAAUACAGUAACCUCCAACUGCAAAUCUAGUGGCACUUCCUCUGGAUCCACAGAAAAGGGAUCUUCAAUCAUCUUCAACUGGAUGUCUUCUUUAGACAAAGUAAGUCUUCUGUCAAAUUCUUCGAUCAAAAGUUUAAUGUGCUUUGCAUAUUUUUCUCCUAAUUCGGCAGGUUUGUGCUGAGGGGUACACUGUACACAAGUAACACAUUUCACCUUUUGACAGUUGACUUCUGAAAAGUUUCAAUUUCAUUUUGAAAGCUUUCACUGCAGCACGCAUUUGAAAUAUAAGUUGAUUUUUUCCUUGAAGAUGGAUGUUGAGAUCAUUCAAGUGUGCUGUAAUGUCACAAAAGAAAAAGAGAUCUUGAUUCCAGGACUCAUUUUCAAGCUCUGGGAAUUGUACUGGCUCAUUUUCUAGGAAUUUUGCUACCUCCUCUUUCAAAGCAAUGAAACGGUGGAGCACUUUUCCUAGACUCAGCCACCUCACUUCUGUAUGAUAGAUCAAGUCGCUGCACUCAGUGUCUACCCCUUCAAGAAAGGCUCUACAUGUCCUAUGUUUUUAGUCCUCUAGAACGGAUGCAGUUUAACAUGGAAACUACCACUGACAUUACUUGCUCAGAUUUUAAGACUUUGCUACACAAUACCUGUUGAUGUAAAUGCAAUGAUGUUUGGUUAUUUCUCUCCCAAUAAAUUCUUCAAGAAUAUCAA